GUACCUUCUGUUGUGACCAACAUGUUGACACGUUUGAGAAUAGAGUAGUCAAGUUUGUUCAUAUAAAAAUUCACAAUAAUUGACUAUAUGAACUGGUAAGGGAAUGAAGGAUUAGAUCCAUCUGCAAUUCCUUUUGCAUAUCAAGCUCUAGCUUUUCAAGCUCCUCAAUAUCCUUGAUCACUGUCAUAUAGUGCUCAUGGACAGACUGUCCC
rnacentral:lncRNA from 1 species